ACGAACAGGGAAGCUGAGAGGCAACAAGCCAGUGUGGGAGUUUGUAGCCCACACAUCUUGAUAAGGGUAGAGAAUUUAGCUACUCAGCAAGUCAUUGAAAGGCACUUGCAAGGACAGGACGGGUUCUAGUUAGAGAGCAGCAGGUUGAAAUACAAGAUCUGAGAAGUUGAAUAAUGAAUGCUAGGUGUGGCAAAGUCCAGAAGUAUGUAAAUGAAGCAGGUGGACAUAAAGUCUGACCAAACCAAUAAGGCGAAGGUUUGCAAUGGCCAUCAGAGAAGACAUGGAAAGACUCAGAAUCAUGGCUUGAAUGGAGUGGUGAGGAGAGUCAAACAUGGGGAGAUGAAUAGAAGUGAAGAAGGAGCAGAGGAAUGGCACACAGAGGUGACUGCAGGCAGAUGGAACAGCAAGGCAAGGUCACGGGCGCCCAGAGGAACAUGGCAGGUCUUAGAACUAUGAGUGCAAGCGUACCUGGGGGCACAGGGCAGAGGAAGAGACGGCCUGGGAGAGAAGGAGACUGCAGAGACGGGGACUUCCACUGUAUCACAGAGGAACUUGUGAAACUAUAUUUCUCAACAGUAAGUAAACAAAUAGCUAGAUGUUCACAAGCAUGUGUCCAGCCUUUGUGAUUUAUGUAGCAGGUUGUAUACCAGCAGGGAAGUGAAAUGGUACUGUUAUCAUAUCUGAUUUGAAAAAGUUAUUCUUCAUCUUCAGAAAACUUCUAGAAUGAGAGACUUGAUGAAGAGGUGACUUUAAAAUGAAUAAAGAUAUUUGCAGCAAGGGGAAAAAAAACGAGAAGACUGCCGGAGGAGACAGAGUUGGUCCAUAAUUAAUAUGAACAUCAAUCUUUUUGAAACGUUAGGAGGAAAGCCUAUUCUUGCUGAAAUAAUUUGAUUCACUGCCUCUUAAAAUAGCACAGGAGGGAAGAGAAAGGGGCAUUGGCAAGAAGAGGAGUGUGAAAACAAGAGUGCUUGCUGUCUUCCCAUGUUUCCUUUGGUGCACAAAGUCCUAGGAGGGGAGAUCCUGUCUAUGUUACAUAUAGGGUCAGUCUGCUCCUGGCCCCAUCCCCUGGGAGAAGCUGUCACUCACUCGUUGUUAUGGUUUAGAUAUGAAGUGUCUCCCAAAAGCUCAUGUGCAAGACAAUACAAGAAAGUUAGAGGUACAAUGGUCAGGUGAUGAGAGCCUUAGCCUAAUCAGUGCAUUGAUCCUCUGAUAAGAAUUAAGGGUAACGGGUGGUAAAUGUAGGUAGGUGGGGAGUGGCUGGAGGACCUGGGUCACUGGGGGCAUUCCUUUGGCUUAUGUUUGUCCCUGGUGAGCAAGAGCUUUCUGUUUCCUGGUUGUCAUGUCCUGAGCUGUUCUCCUCCUCUACACCCUGAGUAGCAGAACUGGCCGCCAUCUAUACACUGAGACCUCUGAAACCAUGAACACCCAGUAAACUUUUCCUCCUCUGAGUUGUUCUUUUCAGAUCUUUUGGUAACAGUGGCCAAAAAGGUGACUAAAACACUGGUUCAAGCAGUAACGAUAGCUCUGGGAAACAGGUGUUCCUUGGUCGAUGUUUAUUUCAAAUGAAGUUCUGUUCCACUGGUAUUUUAACCCAAAGAACCAUCUUCAUGAUGCAAUCUAGCAACAUUCCAGACAAAUGGUGACAAUAUGUAUCACAUAACAUCAAUUUGGCAUAUUGCACAAUAUAGCAUUAUAAUUAUCUUUUAUUGAAAGGCUUUGGGAUAGGAAUAUGCUAUAUAUGUAUCAUUCCUGCCCAUCCUUAUACCAGCCCUAUGAGGUAGACAUACCCCGCAUUUUGGAGAGAGGGAAAUAGAGACCCAAAGAGGGUGUCAAUAUUUUAGAGGUAAGUGGGAUCUUUGUGGCUGUGCAUCCUGUGAUCUUGUCACAUGUCACACUAUCUUCUGAGCAUCAGCAUCUCUAGUCAAUGGCACUUCCUUAGAGAGGGUCUACAGAUGACAUGACAAAUUACACCCUGUUGCAGCUCACAGCUAUGCUCUUUCCACCUCAGUGGCUCUGUGAUCAGAGAUCAAACUUGAGACCCCAGGCUAGUACAAUAAAUCCAUGCCAUCCUUUACAACCAUACCUGAAAGCUAAGCUCUGUCAGGAAGUGACUCAAGGCAAAGUGGUGAUUUUUGCCCUUCCCAAUACUGGAGAAAGACAAUAUGCCUAGUGAUUCUCUUCAUUCAUUCAUUCAUGCAUUCAUUCAUUCAACAUGCAUUUAGCAAGCACCAUCUAUGGGCUCUACUAUGGUGGACAUCCAAAAUAUACAGAACAUUAAAAAGGUGUCUGGGCCCUCAGUGUGUUCACAGGUGAGGGAAGGCAAAGCCAGCCAUGAGGAUAUGCUAUUGCAAAGCAGUGUGGCAGAGCAAGGAUAUUGUCAUGCAAACUCUAAGGAAGUGUGCAGAGUGAGAGAAACAGAGAGGAGCAAGUGUGUCAUAGUUGGGCCGAUGGGUCUGGCGGAAUACCCCUGUUCUCACAUUCACUGACUGUUCACUGUUUCGGCAGAAGCGAUGUACAUCAGCUCUAUGCAGGCCUCAGUCAGGUUGGUCCAGGAGCAAAGGAAAGAUCAAAGACUCACCUUCCAAAAUCAUCUAAUUUUACAUUAAAAUUUUUUCUAUUGAAAUUCUAGCUAUACUAAAAUAAGAACAGAAUAUACUUGUUAUUGCUGAUUUCUCAAACUCAGUCCUCUCUUUCCAGAUUUCUGAAGAUACCUUUAUUUUGAAUACAAAAAUUAGGAGUUGUACUCCCUGCACACAACAGAAGUUCUGGAAAAUAUAGGUAAGGUAUUCUGUUUCCUUUUUUCUUUAUAAAAAUAUAGUCUGGCAGCAAGCUCUGGUGAGAUUGUUUUGGAUGUUCACAAAAUUCCCUGGGUUCUCUUUCUGUCCUUACAGAGUAUGUUAAGAGAACUACUGAUGUUCCAGAUGGAACUUGUGUGGCCUAGGCAGCAAAAAGAGACAAGCAAAGAAAAAGUGACUGCCCCAGGGGUGGGCAGCAGAAAGAGGGCUGCACCAGCCCCGUCUGACUCCUUGUAAAGCAGCUUCUGUGGAAGACCACACAAUAGUUUCUAUUUAUGUUUCAAAGACAACUAGUGUGUCAUAAACUCAUCUAAAUGGACUCCCACCUGUGAGGUUCUAGAAUAAAAAAAACAAUUGAAUAACCAGUACCGCAGGUGCAAAUAUUACUCUCAUACAAUCACCAACAUUUAUUUUUAGAAAAUUGCAUUGCUUUGGUGUUUUAGGGAAACAUUUAUAAAUCACUAUGUUAAUAAAUUCUAAUAUAACCAGAAGAAAAACAGCUAGUGUGUUCAGCUCCACUAACACUAACACAGAGAUGUUUAUGGCUCCAAAACCAAAAAGACCUGCAGACAGACAGGAAGGAAAUUAAGGUAUUGCUGAUUCAUUUGUACCAACUGAUUCAAUUUAUGAAUUUACAUUCAUUAUAUUAUUCUGCUUAAUAACUUUAUGUUGACAUGUAUAAGCACUGGUUCCUAAACUAUGUAUCUUUCUCUUAAGAAAAAUGCAAAGGGUGGAAAGGAAAGAGGCUUAUAUUUUUGUGCUUUGAUUCACUAAGCAUUAGAGAAAGAAAGAAAAUACAGCAUGAAGCAAAAACGUAAUCUGAUUUGAAGUUGGUAUUCUCUGCCUAGCAAUUCCAACUAGCAAAGCAAUCUACUGACUCAAAAUAGUACCCUUCUUAAAGAGGAAACUGGAAUUUGUGUACAUGUGGGUAUUUAUGUAUGUAUUAUGUAUCUACAUAUGUAUCUAUAUAUGUAUAUAUAUGUAUAGUAUAUUCAUUUAAAAUAUAGGCAUAUGUUAUGCACAGGUGUCUUGAACAUCUCAUUUAACAUCUCAAACAUGUAUUUCCUUCUAAAAUAGGUGCUUGUAUUUUAGGUGGCUUUAUUUGUUUGCUUUACUUUUGCUAAAGAACACUACCCACUCCUUGAGGCAAAUCCUUCCAUCAGGAGGAGACUGCUCAGUAUUUUAUGUAGGGGAAACCUCGAAAUGUUUAUCAUCACAGGAAUGAAUUAGUUCAUCAAACUAUUUCCAUUGAAAAUAUUUGAUCAACUUAGUCUCAUACAAUCAUUUUAAUCUCAGUCAUUCUAAUAUUUGAAUUUAGUAAUUGCUGAGUCUACUAUAUUUUAUAAAAGUACCAUUGAACAUAUUAUAGCAAAUUAAAUAUUUUUCUAAUUGAAUAGCUAUUUUGUCAAUUUGUAUCUAUUUAUCAGCUAUAAUACAUGAUAAGACAUUAACUUAUAUAUGUUAUAUAAAACUGACCGCAGAGGUCCCCAAGCUUCAGCGGGAGCACACAUUUGUAUUCUCAAUGCUUGCAACAGUUGGUGGGCAAUUAUAAUCUCAUGUAGUAAGUUUUGCAACAGAAGCAAACGAUCUGAACCUUGAUUUUCUGAAAUAUAAUUUGAGUAGGGAAGGUUGAGGGGAAAUAUUUAGACAUGGCCAAACUCAACAUCUUGGUUCCACAAAAGUGAGUAAACACACACACACAUACACACACACACACACACACUUUCACUUGGGCCUGCUACUCUAACACAACUGAAGUGGAUGAUGAUGAUUAUUUUUCCUAAACUAAUUACUUUUUGGAGUUCCUUAGUGGAAUAGGUAUGAGAGUUACACUCAGUCUUUUAAAAGGGCUUUGGAUUCUUCUCAGCUCUUCAAAAAAUAUGUUUACACAAUUGUUUUGAAUAAAUAUUAAAUCAAUGUACUAUGCUAGUUUCUAAGAGAUGAAAACUAAAAAUCAUUUAAGUGCAAAUAUUUUAUUCUUCUGACUUUGGAAGAGUAACCAGGUCUUUUUUAAAGCUGAUAUGCAGCAUGGAGUAUGUGUGAGUGAGCAUAUGUACCUGAACAUGCAUACCUGUGGUAGGGGUUGUGGGGAGGAGGAGGUUUAUAUUUCCUGUUAUUUUUUUUUUAAAUCCCUUUAAAAAUGUGGUAUACUUGCAGAAGCUAUUGAUGUUUCUUGCACCUCUCAUUUUAAAAGAAUGUAGAGCUCCUGCUUCCUGAAAAAGAAAAAGUUCUAGGAAUGCUUUCUAACAUCUUUGAAGAUGCUUCAAUCUGGCCACUGGAUUAGUUUUUAUUUGAGGGAGGCAGUACCUGCUGUGGACGCCUACAAGGCUGGACAGAUGGAGAGGAGCAGACGUAGACUGGGUGAUUUGGACAUGGUGCCUCGCUGUUAAAAUGAGCCCUUCACACUUCUGUGAUCAGGGUACUGUGAGAAUGCAAAGUCAGUAUAUGUGAAGUGCGCACCCCAGUGAGUGUCCUGAAAGUACAAGCAACCACUAUCAUUUAGUCAUUGAAAAAUACCUUGUUAGUUAUCCCUCUUUCAUUAAUUGACUUUGUUUAAUUAAAAUCAACUGAAGUAUAAGAAAAGAAGCAAACUUCUAGUAUGAAAAGGAAAUGACCAUUGCAACAGGCCCCAUCCAUUUCCACAAUGUUAUUUACAAAUAUUCCUUAAAAUUUCAAGUAAUUUUUUUUCUUACCCAGGGUGUAAUUCAGAAAGUAAUGAAUAUUAAAUAGAUAUAACUGACAAAAUAUUAGCUGGAUAAGUUAGGUCUAAAUAAGUUGGACAAAUAUUUUCAAAAUAUUCCUUUUAUUCCUUGAUAAAGAAAUAUUUUGAGUUUCUCUAAUUGAAACAUUUUGAAAAGUAUGUUUCCUGUCAAGCUGUCUAAAACAUAUCUUUUUCUUUCUACUAUCUCUUUGCAGUGGAAAAAAGAGAGAACAUUCAUGAAUAGAACUAAUGAGACUAAAGUACAAGAAUUUGUAAAAGUGUGAAUUCCACUUGGAAGUUAUAAAAGAAGACUUGUAUAAAUUAAUAAAUAUACCAUGUUUCUAAAAGAAAGAUAAAUAUCAUAAAGGUAUCAGUUCUCCAUAGUAAUAUAUCAAGUCAAAAUGCCAAUAGUAUUUUUCUUAUUAGUCACCUAAAAAGUUGUAAAAUCCAUCUAAAAUAAAUAUUUUUAAAAAAUGAGAAGCAACUCAUCCUAAAAUACGUUAGUGUGUAGUACAAAGUUGAAAUGGUUUCAACAGAGGAGCAGUUCAUAGAUCUUGGUGGAAGAGGGUGAUAUUCUAACACUAGAUCAUUUCCUUGACUAAGACUUUCUAUGCAUUUAACCUGGCACCACAAAUCAUAAAAAUACUUUGAUUUAUCAAAAUAUUCCUACUAACUGAGUAACAACAGGGAUUUAGGUCAAUUUAGAUUCAGGUGACACCAUUUACCCAUAUAAAUAAAGCCUUCAUGAACUACACCGUGAAAAUGUAGAAAGAAUUAUGGGUAUAUCAGAAAGUAUAACAAAAGAAAACAGUAUAAAUAAAACAAAAACUUUCAGAAGAAAGAGAAAAUGACAAUUUCUAAACCUGACUUAUAAUUUGAACCCUGUGUGGACUCGGCUGUCUCCAACCCUCCCUUUGUGGGACCUGCUCCUUCACAGUUUUCCUCUUGUCCAAGAAGAUGUAUCCUUCAUCCUGGUUAUUCUAUUCCUCUGUACAUCUCCUAAUUUGAUAUCCCAGGUUCUCAGCACAAAUCCAGGAAAGGGAACAAUAAGAAAAUGAUAGCCUUUAUUCGGGGAGCCUGUUGCUUUUUUCACAACUACUUCCUAGACCAAGCAAGGUGUUUGUAGCUAUAGGUCCUCAGUUCUAUUCAUUGAAUAAACAAAUACUCGGGGGAGAAGAAGGAUGGCAGUGGCCAUCAGUGGAGUUGGAAAAGGCAACAGCAGGGAAAAAAAUGAUUGAAAACUCACUCAGUUGCAAUUUGCAGAUGAAGAAACCGGAGAUCAGAAUAAUGAAAUAAGUCCUUGAGACCACAUAGCUUACUAAUGCAAAGGACUAAAUGAAUGGAAGUUAGUUUUUCCACUUGACACUUUUCUGAAUAUGCCAGAAAACCCAAUACACAACUAAGGUUACAACUACAGAUCUGAUCAUUCAAAAAAAUUCUCUUCAUAUUAAAAAAAAGAUGUAGACAUUCUAUGAACUUAACCAGAGAGGGGUUUUGAGGCAAAUACAUUCUAUCUAUAGACUGAAAAUAAUUUUGUCAAGUUUCCUGAACUUUGUUUGAUGAGAUCUGAACAUAAUCUUUUUGCCAAAUAUAAGGUUGAUUUUGGGUGGAGUAGGAUAGGAACUCAUUUCUCCUUGGUUCCUAUUUAAUGCUAUUUCCAACAAUGCUUAUACUGACCAGAACAUUUCUUCCUAAAAUACAAAGAUACUGAGGAAAGGAAACAGGACACAAAUUGCAUCCAAUUUUAAGAAUAAGUGAAGAGUAUUGUAAAACACCAUUUACUUAAUCAACAUUUAUUUUAUUCAGCUUCUAUUUAUAAUCACCUACUGUAUCAGGGCCCAAUACAAGGUGCAAGAGAUGUAAUGAUAAACAGAAGCUAUCCCUGUCCUUAUAGAAUUUUCCAUGUAAGGAUCAGACAUGAAAUUAAGAUAUCACAAUGUGUUCUCUUGGGAUCCAGCUACUUAAAAAUAUAAACGUGACCACAUAUCUGGAUUACCCUGGUUAAUUAAAAACAGCUUAGGAAUUGAGAUCUUCAGACAAAUAUAUAAGUAAAAAAUAAUCUUUGAUGGAAACUAUGUUCAAAUUAUUAGCCUCAAGAGUUUAUUUUUUAAUUUAUGUUUAGAAAAAUUUCAUCUUAACAACCACCAAGAUAAACCAGACUUCAACCUCCUGAACAAUACAAGUCUCAUUAGAAUGUGCACAAAGUUGACUGCAAUGAAGAAAAAAAUAAGAUCUUUAAGAAAGAUAAAGUAGAAAGUUUUAGAAAUUUUUGAGGAAUAGCAAGUUCUUUAACAUUUAUCAAAUGACUAUACAGAUAGCUACACAUAUCUAUACUGUUAAAUGAGUUUACAUAUCUAUUAUCUCAUUAGGACUCCAGGACCUGAUACCUAAGAAGUUUGAUAUCACUGUGGGGUGGUAAUGGGGGAAGCAAUUUUCAUCAACUCUUCUAUGGAAGAAGAAAUUCUUUUGUACAGCAAAAUGACAGAAAUGGUGGUUCUUCCAGAAAAGCACAACUAAUACAGGACAAAACUAAACAAGGACACCAUCUCUUGGUGGCGCCUCAUUAAGAUGAGUCCCAGGGAGUGCCUAGAAAUUCCGACAGGCAAUAUUCUCUUCCUCAAACUCUGUAUUUUCUUAACUGAGAGAAAAGAAAGGAGGACCGUGGAGAACUGAACUCUAAGGGAAAGUGAUGCUGGCCCAGUCUGACAAGAUCAGAGGCCGGGGUGACAGGAAGAAAGACUUUAGGAGAAAGCCAGACCCAAGGAGAACUUAGAACUCUUUUUAAGAACAACAGACCUCUUGUGCUGUGACAAGAAUUGCUUAUUUCCUCUAAAAACUUUGUUGAAGUCACAUAUAACGUUGGCAGAUAGUCUUAGAGGAUUGCUGUACCCCCAAGCAUUAUGCUCCUGGCUUUAUGUCUUUGCCUUUGUAUCUUCACAAUGAAUUAGCCUUGUCAUCUCUUCUGUCCCUGACAGUUUGACAUGCAUCCAUGUGACCCCACAGCUGUACCAUUCUUGACAUCUAGAUGAGGCUCUAUGGCAGGAAUCUCCUUUUGGAUUUGUUCCUUUUUUUUUUCUUUUUUUCUUUCUUCAUUAGCCUACCGUUCUUAUUUGUGGAACUUCCAAAAGUACAAGUGAUCCAAAAACCUCGCUCUUUUAUUUUUUAUUUUCUUUUUUAGUUGUAGAUGGACACAAUACCUUUAUAUAUUUAUAUGUGGUGCUGAGGAUAGAACCCAGUACCUCAUACAUGCAAGGCACACACUUUACCACUGAGCCACAACCACAGCCCCCCAAAACCUCUCUUUUAAAUGAGAGGAGAAAUGUGAUAUUUAUCCAAAGUACAACUUUUACAAAAGGGCUUGUGCUCACACUGGUGAAUCUCAAGCUUGAGGUAACAUUGGAAUAGUGUCAAGGUCUUGGUUGUCCUUAGAUCAUCAUCAAACACCCAGUGCUGGUCUACACAGGGCAGCAAUUGAGAAAAGUCAGGAGGCAUUUCUGAUGAGGGAGAAAUCAAUGUUUCCUGGCCUUGUCUCUCUGCUUUUAAUUUCCACAGAUGUGUAAGGUUGCUGUUCUGAUCAAUCUGACCAGGCAUAUGAUAGCAAUAAUUUAUCACGGAGUCACUAGAAUUAAGGAAUAUAUGGGAAAGUCAGCUACAAACCUAGGUGAAUAUUGACUUUGUCAUUGUAACAUAGGGAGAAGAUUUGAGAGAGAAAAAGUUAAGGAUAGAAUUGCCAAAUAGCAAUAAAAGGUCAAAGGAAACUGUGUAAAUCCAAUUGCCCUGUCUUAGUUCUUUGGACUGAGUGUUUGGACCAUUUUCCUGGUUACACAGGCCAUCUCUUUUUAGAACAAAGAGAAAAGAGGAUUGAUGUCUAUUUCUUAUAAUGUUAGCCACACAACUUCGCACUGUGAGCCGGGUGUGUGUUGAUGUGUUCAUGUACGCACACCCAAAGUACUCAAAGUAAGCUCUGCACAUUGCUGCCAUAAUAGAUUUAAUCCUGAAAGUAGCUCGGACACACACCCAUUUGUCUUUAACUUGAGAUCCCUGGCUCCAUAUCCUACUUUUAUGAAUUCCAGUCUCCCCUUUGCUUGGGGAAUUCAGAGGAUUCGUCUCCUAGAGAGGAGCUGAGUUUAUUGCCCUUGGCUUCCUUUUUUUUCCUUCAACCAGUCCUUAGACUUUCUGAAGGAGCUGUUGAAGUUCUAAAAAUGAAGAGUAGCUUUUUGCAGAAUCUGGAGAGGGUUGAGGUGGACAGACAAGAACAUCUGGAUUUCUGAAUACCUGGAUUUUCUAAUUGCAACACAAGGAGUGUCUGUUGGGCCUCUGCAUAGGCUUUUUUAAAGUUUUUUUUUUUUUUUUUUUGUUUUUUUUUUUUUAGAGAGAGAGAGAAUUUCAAUAUUUAUUUUUCAGUCUUCGGCAGACACAACAUCCUUGUUUGUAUGUGGUGCUGAGGGUCGAACCCGGGCCGCACACAUGCCAGGCGAGCACGUUACCGCCUGAGCCACAUCCCCACACCUGCAUAGGCUUUUAAUGUUAAUUUCCUGCUUCACUAGAAGCCUUAGCCACUUCAAAACAUCCCGGUUUGCUGGCCUCUAUUUGGUACAAAUACUGCCCUGAAGAUAUUGGGGUCCUUUUCAUUAGGAAUCCCAGCAUUUACAAGGAUAUCCAAACUCAGGAGCAUCUGCAAAGGGAAAAUGAGAAAGGGUGGUGACAAAGUGCUCCAAGCUGAUGGCAGAGAUAGAAUUAUUAUUAAUGGGAAAUCAUUGAAUUUUGGUUCCAGUUAAGCGUGAAACAUUAAGCAUUCCUCUAGCGUUUCUCUCUGUGGUAUUAAAUUGACUACAAAUUGUGAUUUUUAAUGGAAAAUAUGAUGAAGCAUUCAGCUGCAGCCCAACCUACUCAGCUCAAAUUCCCUCUUCCAUUGUUUAUUUGCUAUUUUAAUACUCCAGGCUUUAGAAACAAGAAAACGGUUCUUAAAGGUUUUGGGAAAAUUUGCUAAGAAUCCAAGCUAAGUGAAUCAUCACCAUUCAAUGUCACUUUUUAAAGUUUCCACUUAGCUUUCCAUUAGGUCAGAAAAGGAAUAUUUAUAUUUUUUAGUGCAUCUCAGCUCUUUGGGUACAAGCAUGAAAUGGCUUUAUUUUUCCCAAAAAAAACUGCUUCCCAACUGUGCUGUGUCAUUCCCCUUCCCUAAUGGGUAAUAUCUUUCCUAAUAAUAUCUUAGUCUUACUUCUAGAUUGUUAUAGCUUGGAUCUGGAAUGUUCCCCCAAAGGCUUAUUUCUUGAAGACUUGUCCCCAGCUGAUGACACUACAGGGAAGUGAUUGAGACCUUUAGAGGCUGGACCUCUCUGGAAUACCUGGGUCACUGGGUAUGUGUCUUUGAAGGUUUUAUUUUGUUUCUGGACCUUUUCUCAUUUUUAUAUACUUCUUGGCAAUGAUAUGAGGAGCUCUGUUAUAUCAUGUAUCCCCUCCCAUGAUAUUCUGUCUCACAACAGGCCUAAAAGCAAAGCAGCCAGCCACCACCCAUGGACUGAAACCUGUAAAACCAUGAGUCAGAAUAAUUCUUCCCCCUUAAGUUGGUUUUUCUCAAGUCACUGUGAUAAAAAGCUGACUAACACAGAAAAUUGGUACCAGAAGUAGUAUCACUGCUGUGACUGCAAUUGAUGAUGUGGUUCAGGAGCCUUUGGAACUGGUAUGUGGGAGAAAUUUGGAAAGGUUUAGAGAUGCAGAAUAGAGAAUCCCUAAAAUGUUAUAAGAAGAACUUAAUGGACAAUUCUAAUGUGAACUCAGAAGACCAGAAUAGUGCUAUGGAUACAAACAGUAAAGGUUGUGCUCAUGAGCUUUCAGAUAAAAAGUGAGAACUCCAUUGAGAAUUGGACUAGAAGCCUUUCAUGUCACAUUAUGGCAAAGAUCAUGCCUAUAUUUUGUCCAUGCCCUGAAACUUUGUGUGAAUCUGAGUUUAAAGAUGAUGGACCAAUUAAUCUGGCAGACAAAAUUUCAAGGCUGCACAGCAUUCAGGUAGUGGCAUGGGCAUUGAUGGGUUUUUUAGACAGAUUGACUGUUGAGAAUUUAGAGUAAAAAUCAGAGCAAAAAGUUUUGAAAUUUUUACAGUUUGUCCCCAAAAGAAGCAAGUUUAAAGUUAGGGCCAAGGAAGCUGUGGUUGCCAAAGAGAUUAGCACCUCUAAAAAGAAGCCAAAUAUUUUAUACCAAGUGCCUUCAGAGCAUCUCAGAAAUUUUCCAGAUGCUAUCCCUUGCAGGUUCAAGGAUGUAAAGUUUAAAUUUGUCUUAAAGACUUUGCUUUGGAAGGGAUCACUGGGCACUCUCUUCACAUAGAGCCACCUAAGAAGUUGUUUCCCUAGGAUUCAUUUCAUCAUGCUCAAUUGUCCAGGCACUCAGAGGCCACAGCAGCCAAGAUUCAAUGGAGCCAGGCUACUGCUCAAGCAUUUGGCAGAUCUUGGUGUCAUCACAUGAUGCUAGUUUUGCAGGAAUGCAGAACACAAGAGUUAUGGGGCCACAGAUUCAUCCUCUGAGAUUUCUAAAGAAAGCUCAGGAGGCCAGGCAUUUUAUAAGAGAGCCAGAGUCCCUGAUAGGGUGAUGCUUGAAGCUAUGAGAGUAAAGGCAAAGCUUCAGUGGAGACCCCAAGAAUUUAAAGAUGCCAGAAACAGGGAGCAUCUACCAAGGUAAGCUACAAGCAGUGGCCAGACCCAGUUCAAGAGGAGAGCCAUGUGGGCUGCAGCCAGCAAGACCAUUCAGGAGGAGCUGCCCAAGCCUCCAUGAGCUCAUCUUUCCACCAUGUGCCCUGAAUGACAGACAUGGAGGUACAAGAUUUGCUUUGUUCUGAUUCUUCCUUGUUAUUCUCGUAUUUCUUCCUUUUGGAAUGGGAGUUUUAUCCUGUGCCAUUGUGGGUUAUAAGUAUGUAACUUGUUGAUUUUAAAAAAAUUUUUUACAGGAGCUCACAGCUAAGAGUUUGCCUUGAGUCUCAGAGGAGACUUUUGGACUUGGAUUUUUGAGCAAUGCUAGAACUAUUAAAAGUUUGGAAACUCUUACUGCUGGACCAAAUUCAUCUUGCUCUGUGAGAAGGGCAUGAGCAUUUGGGGUCCAGUUUUGCUCUGGAACAUCACCCCAAAGACCUAUGUGUUGAAGGCUUGCCCCCAACUGGUGGCACUACUGUGAGGUCUAAACUUUAAGAGGUGUGUCCUAGUUGGAAUAGGUGGUCACUGGAGGUGUGUUUUUGAAGGGCUUAUCUUGUCCAAGAGUCUCUUUAUCUCUGAAUCUCCUUUCUGGUCACCAUGAGAUGAGUAACUUUGCUUUACUAUGUAUUCCCCCCAUGAUAUUCUAACUCACUACAGAUCUAAAAGCAAUGGAGCUAGCUGCCCAUGAACUGAAACCUCUGAAACCAUGAGCCCCAAUACAUUUUUACUCCUUUAAGUUGUUCUUUUCAGGUAUUUAGUCACAGUGGCAGAAAGGCGACGAACACUUGAUUUUCAGUCACAUUAAAGUAUAGGGGAGUCCUAUUCUGGUAUACAGACUUUACUUGUAAAGUAUUGUCUACAUCUGAAUUAAACUUCUUUUCUCCUUUACCAGUUCUGGAGUGUGUUGUGGGCUGGGGAGAGAAGGGGUGGCUAGUUCCAGAUAAUCUCUGACUCCUAUCUGUUUCCUAGGUAAUAGUUUCUGAGAUGUUGCAUACACCAAGGAAUGAUGGACAGAUAGGACCCUGCCUGAUUUACAUAUUCUUAUCAGGAAAAGAAAAAAGUUAGAAAAUUUGCUGCAUUACUUCAGCCUCUUUGACACUCUCAUGGUCUCUUUUCUAAUUCUUUACUUGGCAACAUAAGCUACUCAGGGGGUGAUAGGCAAGGUCACCAGCAAAGAAGACAGGCAGGGAAGGGUAUGCAGUGGCAGCAUGCAUCUCACAGGCUUUCUACAUAAUUUUGAGUGAUUCUCUUGGAACUCAUCCCCUUCCGUUGCUCAUAGAAAAAGAAGCACUCUCCUGGUGGGAAGUAACAUCCUUCAAAAGGCUGGUUUCCUUUCUCUUUGUGUGCCCUGUGUUGGUCAGUGGUGAGCACUUGGCAGGGGUGGUGAUGCUGGGUUAGUUCUGUGUCUUUCAGCAAAUCCUGCAGGAAUGGCUGGAAAUGAGAUGCAUUCACUACUUCUCAUUCUUUGGUUGGGACUUAACUUUUCAUAUGAUGAGACAUGAAAAAAAUCUCAAUUAAUAGCAUCCUAAAUUUAGUUGUGACUAUAAUCUUUUGCUCCCCUGCUUCUAAGAAGAGUCUUGUUUAGAUAAGAGCAGUGUGAGUACCUCUAACCACAGCUGGGCAGCUGUAUUCUAAUCAUUCCGCUCUUAAUGGAGCUGCCUUGGUGUAGUCUUCAGUCCAAACAAGCUUUUCCGUGCAUGCUGGUUUCUUGGAUAGAUUAGAUUAACCUUUCUUUAUGUUCCUAGCUAACGUGCAUUCAGUUUCACUCAGCACCUGUCCACUGCCCCUCAUUUCCACACACAUACUCUCUCUUUCAUCAGUGAUUGCUCCAUCUCGUACCUUGAGAUGGAAUUGCUGAAGCACUAAUAAAUCCCCAUGAUUUCCAACCUAUCUUCACAUGCCCCGACUUGCAGCCUUCCCUAGAAUCCCUUUUUCAUCAGGAGAGAGCUGAUCAUUAAUCUUCCCUUUACGGACAAAUGCAGCUGAAGCCCCAGGCCCCACGGCCUGAUUCUUCCCCUUUCCUCCUGACCUUCUCUCUCAUCUUUACUUCUUCCAGUGUAUGGUGAUGAAUAAUUCAGAGGUUUGCCUUUGUUCCACCAUAGGUGUGGAUUCUCUAAACUCUUCAAGGCAGUGUUCAAGCUAAGUGUCUCUGUAUGACUCAAGAAGUUAGUAUCAAACUCGGCAUAGAGACUAAAGGUACCUUCAAAUGUUUACUCCUGACACCAGAAGUUUUAUGGUUAAAGUGACCACAAGUGACACAGAAUUCACCAAUCAGAAAAUCCAGUGCCCCAUUGGGCUUCUGUUAUCCUAGAAAUCAUAAGAGAAGAUAGAUUAUAUCAACAGAAUGAAGGGUUUAUCCUAAACCAAGUGUUCAUUUUUACUGAGUUAGACAAUGCCUUUUCAAAGAUGGAGAGUAUUUUAAAAGUGUGUUUGAUUUCAUUUUAUUCAGCAAGCACAUUAAUGAACACAGUCCUUAACCUUGAGAAUCUCCCUGCCAAGGAGGAUGGUCAAACAUCUACCCAAGUAGUUCCAGGAAAGGUCGAUGGGAUGAUGGGCAACAUCCUGAGAAGGAAGAGUUUGGGAGCAUGUGAGGAGGCCACCUGGGUUAGAACCUGGAUGGUUACUGAAGUGGGUGGUGCAGAGCCAGGGACGAGAGCCUGAGCAAAAACAAAGAAAGUAGAACUCAGGGUGCAUUUCAGGAACAGCAAUUAGUCCACUGACUUUGAAGACUGGGAGCUGAAGGAAAAAAGGGGAUUAAAGAAAUGGGGAGAGGUAAUGCUGAAGACCAGAUUUAGUUUGGAUCUGAUUAUAUAAGCAAAAAUGUGUUGCUUAAGAGUCCCGGAGGAGGAGAAAGUCCAGUUAGACAGUUAGACGUACUCACAUUUGAUUAGGACAACAACCCAAAGAGGUAGGUACUGCCCUUAUCCCUGUCCCACAAAUGAGGAAAUUGAGAGUCUAAGGAAUUUAGCCAUGCGCCAAGGAUUUGGGGCUACCUACAGACCAAGUAGAAACUGAACCCACUGCUUAUUACUCACGCAGCCUUUGACGUCAGAUAGUUUGUGCUCAGGUUUCAGGCAAGGGCAGGUGUUAGGGCUGCAGGACUUGGAGAGAUAGUAAACUAAAUUAGGGCUGCAUUUGGGAGUGCAGACAGGGAAAGAUUUCUGGAAGCACAGAGUGCUGAAGGUGGAGCGGGGAGCUUUAUGCUUUUCAUAAUGUGCCAAUGCCGGGAGCACUGGGUGCCACAGAAGUUAGAUGAAAGUGGAGUAGUGCUUCAAAGGAGUGAGAGAUUGCCUUCAUCACAGAUUAAGGAAGGCCUCAGGAAUGAGCACAGUGGCCUUUUGCUAUCUGUAUACUCUGCUGCAUCCCUACAGCCCAGAGUCAAACAUGCCAUAGACAGCCGUGCUCAGGAACUGAAUGAAUGAGGCGUGAAUGAGUGCACGUAGGAUGAAGAGGAAGAGUCAGGCUGAACGGUGUACUGUGAGGACAUAUUUCCUCUGUGUAUACUUCUCCUUUCUCCUUAGAUGUGGUCACUCCCCUCAAAGAUGUUUGCAAAUGAUUUUUUAUUGUGUUCAUUUCAAUAAACAUAUCCUACCUGGAAGACUGACUUUCUGCUAGAAGUCUUAUCUAUAGAUGUCUAUUCAGGGCUGCAAAAGUGGUAGAGCAGGAGAAGAAAGGGACUCAGAAUCAAGCAGACUUGGUCUUGACUCCUGCCACCUGAUUUUGGACAAGAGAGAUACCUCAACCUUUAUUUCUCCAUCUGUAAUAAAAGAGUGAUCAACAGCUCUUGAAAAUAACCGUCCUUAAUGUAAUAAUUAGUCUAUUUUCACCCCCACAAAAAUACAAGUACUGGGCAUGCGCACCAUGCCUGCUGAGUGUAUGCUCCAAGAUUUAGGAGGAAAGUUCAAACCCAAAGGAAAACCUGACCACCACCAUACUGGAAAACCAUUUGCUUGGUAUAAAGAAAAACUGAUCUAAAUAUGGAAUUUAAACAUUAAAAUUUCAUUCUUAGAGUGCAUGGCUGAAUUGAGUGAUGCUCUGGGAUCACUCCAUUAUGCUGUUAAAAUCUCUGCUUCAUAUUGGAGAAGUGUGUUUAAAAACUUGAUGAUCCAAGGGGAAUUUCAUAGUGGCAAAUAGCUGCAAUGGGGGGAGAAUCCUAAUGGACUGAAUGAUCUUAACAACUGCCCAUUGGACUCUUUCUAGCCAAGUCAUUGUUUCCCUGUUGUGGUGUUGCUUCUGAAAAAAAAAAAAAAGUCUGAUUGUGCUGAGAGCCAUAGCCAAAUAGGAAUGACACAUGGCAAUUUCCUUGUCAGCCUACCCAAUGUUGCUUAGAGGGAGGACUCUCCAUUGUGGAAAUGGGCUUGCCUUGGACCCAGGUCAUUUGCAGUGACAUUGCAUGAAUGUUUGAGAAAGGUGACCCUGCUCAAGGACCAGGGCGGAUCCAGGUUUAGGGCGGUUCCAGGUUUAGGGUGUGGAUCCUGCUGAGAAUAGGGCGGUUCCAGGUUUAAAGUGGAUCCUGCUGGGAAUAGGGCUUAUUCUGCUGCCUCGGGCCCCACUCCUUGAGUUCCCCUUGAGUUCUUACGGGAUUCAGAGAGUAUUUGGGAUGCAGAGCCCGGUGGAGUGUGUGGAUUUUCCCAGAACGUGCGUGUAGAGUGCCGGUGAGAGUUCAGGAAUAAAGAAUUGCUGUUUGAAUCUACAAGGCGGUGUGGUGGCCCGGUUAUUUUGUGCCCAGCCAGACUGCGGCAUGAUUGAAUUCGCUAUUGAACUUUCAUUUCCUUGGAAUAAUAAUAUAACAACAACAGUAGCAAAACAGAGCACCAAGACCCACCAUCUACUGAACAUCUUCUCAGUGUAAGUACCAGAAAAGGCACAUUUUACUUGAUUGUACUUCAUCAUCACAAAACUUUAUGUGAGAAAAAUUAUCACCUGCCUUUUAGAUAUAAAACGAUUGAAUCUUAGAAAAAUUAAAUAAACUUUUUGACAUCAUCUUCUAGUAAGUGCUAGGCCAGGAUUUGUAUCCAUAGCUAUUGAUUUGAAAGUCAUUUUGUUACCCUUCCUUUCACAGUACAGGACAUACUUACUCUUCACAACCUACAGUCCUGGAAAUUUAUUGUCAACAAAUGCAGCCGACUAUGGGCUACUACUUGUCUGCCCCACCUGAGCUCUGUAUGACCUGGAUUCAGAAUGUAGCUGGGCCUAAGAAAAAUGCUUUCCUGUAAGCAUUUUCCUGUAAAUGCUUUUCCUGUAAGCAUUCCUUACCAAUAAGGAAUGGGCUCAGAGGUACAGCCAAUCCCAUGUCCCACUGAGACCAGGAUAUGUCUUAGUUUUCAUUCAUAAAGCAAAGUGACUCUAUCUGAAGCUUGACUCCUACAUGGCUUGAUUUAUUUCAGGGAUCUUGGAAAAGACACCCAGUGGAAAAACCCUAUAGUCUAGCUAAACAUUUGUCAAUUUUGUUGUUCAUUUGUAAGAACCUACUUUUGGUUUCAUUUCAUCUCAUUUUUUUUCCAUCCUCUAUUUUAUCAAUGUCUGUUUUCACCUUUACUACUUCCUUCCUUGUUCCUGUUUGGGGUUCUGUUUGCUCUUACUUUUCUAGUCUUAGGACAUGAGGUUAGUUAUUAUUUGGGGACUUGUUUUUAAUAUAUGCAUUUAUAGCAAUAAAAUUUUCUCUAAGCAUUCUGUUCCCUUUGCCCCACAUUUGUUGAGAUUUUGUUUUUAUUCAUCUCAAAGUACUUCUAAUAUUCCUUGUGACUUCUUUGAUCUACCUAGAAUUGUGUAUUUAAUAUUCACAUAUUUGUGAAAUUUUCAAAUUUUCUCAUGUUAUUUAUUUCUAAUUCUAUUCCAUUAUGUUCAUACAGUGUACUCUGCAUAAUCACAUCUUUUCAGGUUACUGAACACUUUUUUGUGACCCAAGAAUUGUCUGUCUUGGAGAAUGCUCCAUGUGUGCUUGAGAAGAAUGUGUAUUCUGCUGCUUUAGCAUGGAUUGUUCUAUAGAAAACUACUACAUCUAGUUGGUUUAUAAUGUUUUCCAUGUCUUAUAUUUCCUUGUUAAUCUUCUGCUUAGUUCUAUCAAUUAUUGAAUUCUAUAUCUUAUUGAUAUAUAAUUCACAUUCCACAAAACACAUACAACUCAAUGGCUCUUAGUAUAAUCACUAAGUUGUGCAACCAUCACUCCUACCCAAUUACUAAAUAUUUUUAUAAUCCCCCAAAGAAACCCCAUUAGCCAUCCACUCCACCAUUCAUUCUCAGAGGCCACGUUAACCUGCAGCAUGAUUUCUAAGGGCUUGGGCCCUCACAGAUGAAUUUGAGAUUGCUUCCUUUGGCUCCAAGUCACUCCUUUUAAAAAAAAAAAAUCUCGAACAUAUUGACAAGCAAAGUAAUUAAAGGAUAAAGUAUGGACUAUUACUUAGAAUUCAGAUGUACAUUGAAAUUAGAGGUAGACAACCUGUAUUCAAAUUAAGGAGCCACGACUUGGCACUCCAUCCAUAGAACAUGCCACCUCCUCUAUUAUUUUUCUUACCCAUAGAAGGAAAUAAUGGUACCUUUACAGAAUUUUUAAGCAAAACAAGUGAAAUAUUGGGAUUUAUAAGUAAAGGUCUAUAUGGAUGUGAAUUGUUUUUCCAUAACUCCACAGGGGAGUUAUGGAGCUUGCAGUUUGCCCAAAUCCUCAAGUCUGGAAUAGAAAAUGAUAAUCUCCAGAGACAUGAGCCCAUGAAGUCCACCUUCUUCAGCUUGACCAUCUAGAUGGAAAGUGAUUGAUCCUUUUCUACAACAUCUUCAGAAGAUGGUCCCAACAUUCCUUAAGGUGUCAUUUGUAAACAGGUGUUCACCAGCCUCCAAUCCUUGCAUCACUGCUACUUCUCCGGGAUCUGGACAUGCAGUCUGCUGCUGAGCAAACCUAAUAAUCUUGACAGUGGUCAGCCCUGUGUUGUUGGGCCACAACCUUUUCCCAGAAUAAUAGCACAGGAGUGACCAGCUCAGGAAUCAUCACAAAAUAAUCUCAUAUGCCAUAACAACAUUUCCUACUGCAGUCUCAUCUCGAUUCUACCUCUGGUGGCAAACAAGAUCUGGUCAACAUCAUCAAUCAGAUUAUCUUGCUAAGAACUUAAACUCCGUAACCAAUCACCUUCACUUUUGUGGGCAAAUUAACUCAGGUUUUAUCUUACUUGAUCAGCCUACUUUUCAAUAUUGGGAUCCCCUUGGUGGCUAAAUUCCUAAUUAUAUCCAUACAAAGUUGCACUGGCUAGAAAAUAUACUAAUUACCUAAUAUUUCUUUGAUCUGCUGUGUCAGAGCCAAGGGUUGUUGUCUAAAAAGAAGAGAUUAUGAAAGAAAAUAAGUACCUUUCUCAAGGCCACUAGCUUAAUUAGUCAGUUGUGAGACAUAGAACACUGGCUCUAAUUGGUCUGCACAUUCAAAUCAUCAGGGGUGUACUUACAUUUUUGAUGCCCAGACAUGUACUACAGAUCUAUUACAUCAGAAUCUCUUGGGGGUAGAACUGAAAUCAGUAUUUUUAAAACUCUUGAUAUGACUCUAACAUACAGCCAAGAGCCAAUGAUUUAGAAAAUGAUUCUCAAACUUUGAUGCACAAUAAAUAGCAUUACUUAAGGAUGCUAAAAUGUCAAUUCUGAUUCAGGAGGACAGAAUCACGGGAGGGCUGAAAUUCUACAUUUCUAACAAGCUCUAGGGGUUGGUAAUACUACAGAUCCAUAGGCUAUACUUUGAACAGCAAGAUCAAAACAGCAUUAGUUUUGACUUUGCUGCACAUUAGAAUUCACUGAGAAGCUUAUAAAACUGUCAGUGCAUGGAUGCACCUGAUAUCAGACUAAAUUAGACUUGGCAAGAAUGGGACACUGAUAUUAGUGUUCCUUAACAUUCAUCAGAUGAUUCUACUGUUCAGUGCAUUUGUGGAGCAGUGACUGAGAAUUUCAGCCCUUCUAUCCUGGUUUCAUCCAGUGAGCAGGAAGGAUGAACCAUAGAGAAAUUAUAAUUCACAUAACAAUUUUUUUAGAAUAACACACGUCAUGUCUGAUACAUCUCUAAUUCAUCAGUCAAUCCUACCAGGUCAAUCUUGAUCCAUAUAACGAAUGCACAUACUUCCAUGACUGCCCUCCAAGAACCACCAUCAUUUCUUGCCCUAAGGAUGGGAUAGCACUUCAACUGAAACCAUCUCCACACUGAAAUGACUUGCACAUUGAAACGAACUCCCAAUGGGAAAGGCCUACUAACCAGAGUAGUCUCCCAACUGGAAUAUUCUCCCAAUAGGAACAGCUUCCUGACAUGCUUUGUCUGUCCUGCCUUCCUAUGUCCUCUAACAACAGCCAGAUUGGCCUUUUUAUAACAUUAAUUACAUCAUGAAUUAUAUCAUUAAUUAGAUCAUGAAAGGUCAUCAUGAUAUUCCAUGGAACUAAAAGAUAAUCCACAUCCUUGACCAUGACCACUAACUCUUCUUUUUUUGUUUACCCACCUAGAUCUAUCUCUUUUCAUUGGUCUCUGAGGCCAGUCUUCACUAGCUUGUCCACAUAGGUCUCCUUGCUGAGUGUGAAUAUCCCAAGAACAUCCAUUUUGGGGACCUUUGCACUUGUCACUUGUUUACAAAACUAAUCUGCACACAGUCAAUCCCUUUUUGUCAUGUAGUACAUAAGUGCCACCUCUUAUGAGAGGCUUUCUUUGUCUACUACCCUAAAAUUCCCAUUCUAUUCUUCCAGUCUCUUUGAAUCACAUCACCAUAUUUUAUGUUGUUUUUAGAUAGUAUUUAACAUAGCUGACUCAUUCCUGUGUUCAAUAAAAUGUUUACGGAGCACCUAUCAUGUUUUAAUGGCUCUUCCAGGAAAGAGUGAUAGGUACGUGGGCAAGACAGUCAAGUUCAUAGCCUUAUGGAAUUUACAGUCCAGCUAAAUUCUCACUUGUGGCCUGAAUUAUCAUAUACCAUGUUCUCUCUCUCUCUCUCUCUCUCUCUCUCUCUCCCCCCCCCCCCCCCACCCUUUUUUGGCUGCUGCCUGUCUCCCUCUGCUAGACUCCCACAUAGUAGGGAUCUUGGAAAAUUUUCCUUCACUGUGUUCUUGGUUUCUAGAAUACCCAUAACAUCAGUGAUCAAAUAAAUGUUUAAGAUUAAGUAGCUUUAAAACACUGAAAAUUCUGAGAUUGAUGAAUUCUAUCGAUCAAAGCACAAAUUUUCUUUUCUUCUUAUCCUUUAACCUCUUCUUAACUCACUUUAUCUCCUAAUGUCAAGAGCUUUUGAAUAAAAUCUAAUCCCAUGUUAUCCAAAAUAUAGACCCCAGAACAGCAUUACUAAUAUCACCUGGAACUCUUGAAAAUGCAUUCUCAGGCCCUAUCCCAGAACUACUGAACAUGCAUUUUAUGAGAUUCCCAGGGGAUUCCUAUGCACGUUAGAGUUUAACAGCAAUAGAUAUUCCAUAACCCCUUUGUUAGAGGCCAAGAGAAGGGACUCUCCCAGGAAUGAUAUGCAAUUCUUCUGACCCAUAGCAUGAAGCUUCACAAGUAUCAUAUUGGUAUUUCAGUAAGGGACUGAGACACAAAAUCUGUAACCUGAAAAGUGUCCCCAAUGGCAAAUAUUUCUGGAAGAAUCGCCCUUAGAUAGCUACCAAAUCCCAGUGUACAUGUGCCUACCACCCUUUCCUCUUACUCAACCAAGCACCUGUUGCCAAAUGACUUCCAGGUGUGAGUGGUUCCUCUCUAAAGCCAUUCCUUGAUACACAUCCAGAUCCUGUUUCCUCCACACAGAAACUCAUGUUGUCCUUUUAUUCUCAACCAUCAGGCAGUUUCCAUUCAAAACCUUUCCUUAGAGAGGGCUGUUCUCUGCUCACCUUUCAAAAGAUAACAGGUGUCCUUUGAGAAUUAAGCUGUGCAUAUGCAACUCUGAGGGCUUUGGAAAUGCAGCUCCACCAGCACAGCCCUGGCAAGCACUCUGACUGCUGUUUUCCAUACGGGUGUUAUUCUGACUCUGCAAUGCAGUAGAUUCUCUCUGCUGUCAGGGCUAACCAACUUCUGGGAUGUCACAUCCUCACCUGACUCUGUAGGAAGGCUUGUAGUAAAGCUAUUCCAUUUCUAAAGUAUGUUGCAAUAUGUGUAGCAGAUUCUAUUUCUUUGACUUAGCAGUUAAUAAAGAAGGGGGUAUUUUAAAAAGCUGCACUUUACCUUCUGUGUUCAAGCAUCUGCAUGUAGAUCCCCUGGCUCAGGCUAACCCUGAAGAUGUUACUCCCUUACGGGGCCCCAGAUAAAUUCACCUAGUCUCAUUCCAGCCUAAAAUAACUAAAAAGAUAAGAAAAAUCUAAAAUGAUAAAUAUAAAAUAAAUCACUGAAUUCUCCUCCUGAAAAAGUAAAACUGAAUCUUCUCCCAGCAAAACAGAAUUUUGAAAGGCUAUAAUUUAUACUCAAAAAUAAUGAAAAGACAUCAUUUACCUGGCCUUCAUGUUGGUGGAAGCAGCAGGGAUUUGGGAAUGAGGCAGAUUUGGGUUUGGAUCAUGUUCUGCUGCUUAUGACACUGCAACCUGGAACAUGCCACCUGAUCUCUCUGACCCCAAGGAUUCUGUGUCACUGUAGGGGACUAAUCCACUGCAAGGGGAAAUUGAACCUGCCUGAGACCUGGGGUGUGGUAGGCAUCAAUAGACACAGUAGAAUGAUUCCAACAGUUGUAAUUAUUAGUGUUCACAGCCUUCACCAGCAAUAGUAGCAGCAGCAUAUAAAUACACCAUCUACAUUCACCAGGUAAGUGGCUAUGGAUCUGGGAUUUAAAUGGACUUAAACACUGAAGGUGUGCAAGUGUAUACAUAAUAGAUGAGGAUAAUCAGUCAACAGGAAACAUUAAUUAGCAAAUUCCUAAACCAUGGCUUCACUUACAAAGUCAGUAAAGAGGACAAGCAUCUAUUGGCUCACAAGGCCGCAUGGCUGCUAAUAAUAAGAGAUGCCCCCUGUGAGCACAAACAUUCCUAGGUGUCAGUGUGGGUCAGGGUUGGGCAGACAGGACCCAGGCUGAGGCUCUGGCCUGGAUAGUACCUCAGGAUUUCAGCAGACACAAGCAGGAACAAAAUUCGGAACCCUCACACAUCAGAUGGAGCACUAAUCUCUAGUGUAUAUAAAGAACUCAAAAAGCUAAACACCAAAAAAAAAAAAAACAAAUAACCUUAUCAACAAAUGGGCCAAGGACAUGAGCAGACACUUCUCAGAAGAGGAUAUUCAAUCAAUCAACAAAUAUAUGAAAAAAUGUUCAUCAUCUCUAGCAAUCAUAGAAAUGCAAAUCAAAACUACUCUAAGAUACCAUCUCACUCCAGUCAGAAUGGUAGCUAUUAUGAAGACAAACAACAAUUUGUAGGUAAAUAGGUGGAGUUGGAGAAGAUAAUGCUAAGUGAAGUUAGCCAAUCCCCCCAAAAAACAAAUGCCAAAUGUUUUCUCUGAUAUAAGGAGGCCGAUUCAUAGUGGGGUAAGGAGGGGGAGCAUGGUGCCAUUUCCAGUCUCAGGGAUCAUUCUUAGGCUUUUUCCCUUUAAUAAAAGCUUGUCUCAAGAUGGGAUAUCAUAUCAAUUAUAAGCAACUCACAGAUUGGAACAAAUCUCAGAAAGUAAACCGUAAUGCAUGACAUAGAGUAACUUAGAAAACAUCUCUGGGGAAUUACCUGGAAAGAAAAAAAAAGUUCUGUAAAAGAAGCCUUUUUGUCCUAAGGUGUUGGGGCCUAUACUUGCCACAGAGCUGCGGGUGUGUGAGGAAACAGCCUUGUGACUCUGGUCUUGUGAUAUUUCUGUGUACGUGGCGAUUUGAGUUUGAGAAAUGGCUUCCGUAUAUGUGCCUGUACAGUUAUGAGAUAUGGCUUCCGCAAACGUAGCAGGAUAUUAGAAUAAAUCCCCAGCAACAGGGACGUGCAUAUUUCUUAUUGGGUCCCAUCUCAUCUCUCCUCUACUUCCUACUUUCCUCUGCUAUAAAAGUCACCCCCCCACAUAAUAAAGUUGAGCUGCUGUGCCAUCACAGCUGACUCAACUCCCGACUCGGUGUGAUUUUUGGCCAGGUGAGGUGCCAGGGGCCGGGUCGAGACACUCAUCAUCUCGUUCAGCCCCGGAGACACUAGCUGGUCUAGUGCUCUCCCCUAAUCUCUGUCAGAGGGCGGUUCCGACACUGAGGAAGGAAUUUGGGCUGCAGCUAGGAAAGAGGCUGGGGAAGCCCCUCUUGGAGCAUCUCAAAGUGUCCAAAAUGGGCAGUUCCUCAUGCAAUAUCAGUGUUUUCAUUGUCACCACUGACAACUAUACCCUGGUGCCAGGGACUUCACAAAUGUCAUCCAUGAUCCUCGCAGUAACCCAGCAAGACAGCUCAUCUUCCCAACACUUUCAGUCUCAACUUCAGGGCUUCUUGAUCCCUAGGCUAUUCUAGAACAUUCUAAAAACACCUCACAUUAUUCCCCCACAGCCUUUUUCAGAUCACAUAAUUAUUUGGACCGUGAUGUCUUCUUCUUCUUCUUCCCUGGAUUCCAAGACCAUAGGAUAAGAACCAUGUCUUCUUCAUGCUUAUCUUCUACUCUUCAGCAACCUGAAAAAUGCCUCUAUCAUAGCUAUUCAAUAAAUAUUGUGACUCAUGAAUGACUGAAAUGAGUGAACAUCACUUAACUAUUUCUGAACCCACUUUAUCAAUGAGGAGACUUAGGCUUGGCAUGAAAGUUCAGCUCAAGGUCAAGAUCUAGUUUUAGUAGCUUAAGGACAGCUGAGCCAGUUCUCCCAGGUGCGUCGGCCUCCAGAGCUCCCUCUUGUCCACUCCACACUGAGCCUGGCUCAGCGCUGGGCAGGAACACACUUGCUAGUGGAGUCUGAGGCAUCUGUCUACUUCUUCCUCCUGAUCCUUCCACGUACAAUCUAGUGUCUUUUGAUCUCUGCCCUGGACUCUUGCUAAUUGGAUUUGCCAGGGCAUCGUCACAUCAAGAGUCAGUCACGAAGUCACUCUCUCUGCUGCUGUUUUUCUGGCAAAGAUAAGGACUCAUAACAAAUUUUUUAAAAUGAAAAGAGACUAAGGUCAAGAGUAGUUGUAGAACGCAUAUCUAAGAGGCCCCAUCAAAGCAGAAAACCAUGUGUGGCUUGACGGUGACUUAUGUCACACAUAAGCAGCAAUGACAGAAGAGUUCUGAAUGGUUGAGAGGAAAACCCAGAGUCUUGGAGGCCAUGGGGCAAAGGGUGAGAGCCUGAGGUGCUGGUGAGGGGACCUGAGCCCCCAGGUCCUCAUUGGGCAUGAUGACAAAACCCACUAAGCAUGAUUGCUCCAAGGGCUAAGUCAUAUAUUAUAUUUGGAAAAUGAUUGCAAAAGCCUUCAUGAGUAUGAAAAGUUGAAGGCUGACAAAUAAAGAUUGAGAAGCGAACAUCUUAUUUCCUUGGACAGGCUGACCUCACAAGAACCUCACAAAAGUAUAUAUAUUUUAUGACAUUUGAAUACCUGGGAACAGGGAAGUUAUCUCAGAGUAGGGAAGUCGUACCUUUGUAUGCAGGAAACAUUUUAGGUUUGAAUUCUGCAGACUGUGCCUAUUCAAGAAAACAAUCCUCAGGGAAUCCAUCAGACUCAUCCAUAGCUCAAGGAGCAGCUUUAAAGUUGUUGGCGUCAUUUGCAGCACAAACUUAGAUUAAGCAAUUUAUAGGCAGGAGAGAAUGUCUAAUUUGCACAUAACUGAUGGCAGGAAGAUGAAAGAUGAGUUCAUAAUAUUUCGGCUGACUCUGCAAUACAGCUUGGAGCCUUUUUUCUAAUUUCCUUCAAAAUUCAAAGAAAGAGAAAUACAAGCAGAACAAUUUCACUGCCUAAGGAUGGGACUCUGCCCUGUGCUCCAAGCCCUAUCCAAUUUGCUCCUAUCCUCCCAGUUCAGUCUCACCUGGAACAGGGCCAUGGUGGAAUUUGCUUUCCAGGGUAUCUCACAGCACCCCCGUGUCUACCCAGCUCUGGACUCUCCUUUUACUCAUGAAUUUACUGCACUUCAUUCACAGGUGCUGGGUACUGGGCGAUUCUGGGAAAUGUGACCUCAGAGAUGACAUCACCCACAGCCGACUACUGUGACAUGUGCCUCUCCCCAGUUUCCAUCAUUUGAUGUCCUGCUCCUCUUUCCCAAACAUUGCUAUUUCUUGAUUUCUCUUCUGAACCCUGUAAUCAGGCACAACUUUCCUCCUUGCUUUGUGACUCACUGAAUAGCUGUCAUCUAUUAAAAUUCUGUAGCAAUUCCUAGGGUGGGUGCAAUACUUUAACAAGUGGUGUGGGCUAAAUGCUCUGGACAAGUCACCUGGCUUAAUUUUCAAAAUAACACUAUGAAGUAGAUAGUAUCAUUAAGCUCAGACUUACAUAAGAUCACACAGAGCUGGAGGUGCAAUGUGUCCAAGGUCACUCAGCUGUGUGUGAUGAAGAGGGCUUCAAACCCAGGCAGUCUGGCUUCAAACCCAGACCAAUGCAAUUGGGCACAUCAUCUACCUCCACACUUGAUCUCAGCCAUUUUUCUCUAGGCUGUGACUUUCAUGAAAGCAGGGUUUGUCUCAUUCACCUCUCAUUCUACCCUGCCUACCACCCACUAACCCCUGUCAAGUGGGAUAGGUAAUGAGUCUGUAUUUGUUGGAUUAAAAUGAAUUCCAUAGAUACCCAGUUUAAAUUUAUGACCUUUUGGAUUCUUAUACCACAUCAGCUCACUUUGUACUUCAACAUUUUUGCAGUUUCAUUUGCAUAAACUCUUGGUGUUUGUGUCUCCAGAUGUCUUAUCACGCUACAGAGCUGGCUGAGUUUACUUUGACUCAUUCAGCGGCUGUUACAGGAAGUGGGCAGGGAAUUCGAUUUGUCCAAGAGGCUGAAAAGCAUUUUAGAGGAUGGAUGGAUCAACUAAGAAGGCUCCUGGGCUUUGCCAGGAGGACACAACUCAGGAAAUGCUUUGAACAGAGGUCCCUGCAGACUCAUCCUUCUUAGCCAGAGGCCACCUGGAAUGGUUACCUCUGUCCUCACAUCACAAGGUCCAGGCUGCAGGAUCCAACCUAAAAAUUCAGCCACAUUUUCUCUCUUAGCAAUUCUGGAGAAACUUUUUUGCUAGGAGUCAUAAGUCUGAUUGCAGCAGAGUAACUAGGGCAUUGAUCUUGUAAUAGUGCCUGAUCUCUAGUCAAGGCGUUCACUGAGACAAAAAUGUGUAGCUCCCAAUGACAAUAAGUCCACACAGACCUCAGGAAACUGAAGGGGAUAAGUGUGAGGGGCCUGACAGCACUGCUCUUAGGAUUUAAGCAGAAUAAAGCAAAAGACAGCCAUUUAUCCUGUAAUUUGUAGCUAUGGUUUUGGUCUCUAGUGUCCCCAAAAUGCUCAUUGAGUAUUAAAGGCUUGGUCCUCAGUGAGGUGAUACUAGGAGGUAGUGGAAGUUUCAAAGUUUUUUCACGUCCUAGCAUGAGGUGAGUGCUUUUGCCCUACUACAAGCCCCAACCAUGAUGUACAGGAUUGCAAGAGCAAUGGGACCAGUGGGUCAUAGACCGAAAUUCCCUAAACUGAGCAAAAAUAAGUCUUUAUUCUUUAUAAACUGAUUAUCUCAGGUAUUUUCUUAUAGUGCCAGAAAGAUAUCUAAUAUGUUUGGUAAAAAAAAAAAAAAGUGUGUUUUCUCAUUUACUGGAUUAAAUUUCUUAAAGACAUAAAAAUUAUUUGGUACUUUGUGAUCUGAAUAGGUAGGCAGUAAUAGCAUGACUAUGACUAUAAACCUCAUCAACUGUGACAUCAUAGUUUUCAAGGUCAAAGGAAUUGGCAAUGAAAUUGGGACACUGACUACCAGUUUCCCAGUACUGAACCCAUAUCUUAUUCACUUCCAGCAAGGGGUGGCUUCUCAGGAAGCCCAAAUAUAGAAAAAAAUUCCAAUACCAAGGAAACAGGUGAAUAAAUUUUGAUAUACUCAUUGAAAUAUUGCACAUUAGAUGCAUAAACUACUACAACACAUGACAACAUAAAGAAAUGUUUCUGCCACAGUAUUCAAUGAACAAUGUGAUGAACAAAAGAGCACGUACUCAAUGAUUCCAUUUCUGUGAAGCUCAUGAAUGUCCCGAACUCUUCUAAGCAGAAUGCACUCAGUGGAAGGAAUAUUGAAGCAAUAGGCUUGUUCUGUAACUACAUUAUUUCCCAUUUGAAUAUUUUGCAUGUGAUUUCCCUCCCCCAGCCCCAAGUGCCUGGUGGGCACCUGCUCAUCCUUUAACACUUAGCUCAGUGACGACAUUCAGAAAAGCUUCCUUUACCUACCACAGAGGACCUCUGGUAACUGGAUACCGGACACUAGUAACAUGUUUCCUCUGGAGAAAUGGAGUGGAUUUAUGAGCACAAUGGCUAGUAAAGAAUCCUACUGCUACUGGAUACUCUUGCUGAAUGGGUUACCAUUUAAAAUAGAACUUAGGACAAAAAAAUAAGUAAAGGCAACAGUUAGGAACCUGAGUUAGCAGUUUACCACAGUUUGGAAUAAAGGGAUAAAUGUUGGAUAACCUCCCACCCCCAGGAGCUUUCUCCCUCCCACCCACCACAACCCAGAGGGCACUAUUUCUUUCUAAAGAAGGCAAUAGCAAGUGAAGAGAGACUUCUUUUAAAAACUCUACAAUCUGGUCAGAGCAAGGCCCUUACUUCAUGAACAGAGCUGAUGAAAUGUAAAAUAUACAAAUAACAGAAUUGACUUUAUUACCCAGACUAAAACUUGACUGGACCAAAUGUCCCAAGAUGGAAACCCUUUUACUUGCUUUCUGGGGUCCCUCAGGCCUCUUCUGCGUGAUGAUAUCCCUCUAGAAGGAGAUAUGGAGAAUUAUUAUAAAACAUCAUGCUUUUCACCUUGAAAUCAAAGGAUUUGACUUUGGAAAGCUUGGAACAUUUUUACAAAACAGGAUCCAGAAUUGAUUAUGGAUAGCAUAAAUUUAAUGUUACCAUAAACUGAAAACCACAGCUAAGAUGCUGCAUUCUAGAAUCUUAAAAUCCUCCAGUCUACUCUUAAAUUGCUCUCAUAACAAAUGUGAACUGGUGAGAUAUUUAUGACACAUUCAAUCUGUACAUGACAUGAAAAUAAUACAUAGUUCUAAUUCUAUUCCAUUUACCCUCUAAUAAAUUAUAAGUAGGAAGAAACUGCAACGAAAGGAUGGAUCUCAAGUUUCACAAAAGGCUAUGGUUCAAGCCACAUUUCUAAUAUUUUGUAAUGUGAUAUUUAGCCCAUCACUAAAUUUUCUAAAUCUUAACUUCAUCCUUCACUGUAAAGCAGAUUUUUUUUGAGAAUUGCCAAAAUUUGCAGUCGAAAAGCAUCAAAUAUACAGUUAGUGUUCAAUAAAAUCUUUCAUGUCCUUUGUGUUUUUUUCCUUAUGGUAUAUUAUUAGUAUGGCUUACAGAAAUCAUAAAACUAUUACCUCUCACGUCUCCAACAAAGCAGCAGAACACGAAUCAGUUAAAGAGUCAAUAUGAUGUAGUUGUUGAACUUUAGUAUAGAAAAAGCCACAAAUAAAAUAUUCUCAGUUACUUUGGGAGAAUUUAC
rnacentral:lncRNA from 1 species